UACGUAGGGAGCGAGCGUUGUCCGGAAUUACUGGGUGUAAAGGGUGCGUAGGCGGGAUUGCAAGUCAGGCGUGAAAUACCGGGGCUUAACCUCGGGGCUGCGCUUGAAACUGUAGUUCUUGAGUGAAGUAGAGGCAGGCGGAAUUCCUAGUGUAGCGGUGAAAUGCGUAGAUAUUAGGAGGAACACCAGUGGCGAAGGCGGCCUGCUGGGCUUUAACUGACGCUGAGGCACGAAAGCAUGGGGAGCAAACAGGAUUAGAUACCCUGGUAGUCCAUGCCGUAAACGAUGAUAGCUAGGUGUGGGGGGACUGACCCCUUCCGUGCCGGAGUAAACACAAUAAGCUAUCCACCUGGGGAGUACGACCGCAAGGUUGAA
rnacentral:rRNA from 1 species